GCUCUAAGUCCAUAGAUGUUCUCCUCAACUCCAACGGCCAUAGAAACGGUACCCCAAUCAAGAUCAUCUCCUUCAUACACUUGUUCAUCUUCAUGAUAUUGGGGGGCUCCAGUUAACCAUUCAUUUGCCUCAUCAAUAUUGUCCAACAAAAUUGAAUCAAUAGUAUCGCGAGCUUCAUAACGUCGCCUCAAUGUUCUAUUGUAUUUAAUAUACACUAGNN
rnacentral:lncRNA from 1 species